AUCCUGGUGUGGCUACAGAGAGACUUACAAAUAAAUACUGGAAGUACCCCACGCUGAGCUUUCUUGAAAAGAAGGUUCCCCAAUAUGUGUUGACAGUGAUGCAGUUACAUGAGGUUGGCGUAUUUCACACUAGGUUUUAAGCGAUGUGACCCCCAUGCCUGACUGGCAGACAGGAUGCCACAGCAUGCUUCUCAGAAUGAGGCCGUGGCUCCCACGGGCCCAGGAGGUUCUUCAGUGUCCUGUGCCUGCCCGUGGGGCAGAGGGUGCUGGCUGCCGGGCUGUGUGCUCCCCGGGCCUGGGUGUGGAGUUAGAAUCCGACUCUGAAUCUAGGAUCAUAUGUCUUCGAUUUGGAGACUGUGUAUCUUUGAUUUUCCCAUUUUAGAGUCCUGUUUUAGCAGAACCCAGAUCCUGUUGAAAGUGGUAGAAGCUGAAUGCUCUUCCCUAGAAAACUCGGUGUCAGAUUUGCUGUGGAAUCAGAGGCUGAGCCUGUUCUCCUUGUGGAUUGAAAAGCCAGCAGAGCGUUUAUACCGGAUGGCCGUGCGCUUCCCUGAACUCUGCUGUGUCGCUAAGCAGAUGGCAUCCUGGCGAGAGCUCCGUGUGCACACAUGUAGUGAAUGUGCUUUGACCAUAGAAAGGACUAUACUCAGAAGUAGUGCUAAGUUGCCAGUGGAAACUGCCCAUGGGCCACAUGAGAGACCACGGAUCCUGCAAUGCUCGGGAUGCAUAAAGCUGGCACAGAAGUGCUGCAGAGAGGCUGUCACCAGUUAG
rnacentral:lncRNA from 1 species